rnacentral:rRNA from 1 species
AGCGAACGCUGGCGGCAGGCUUAACACAUGCAAGUCGAGCGGGCAUCUUCGGAUGUCAGCGGCAGACGGGUGAGUAACACGGGGGAACGUACCCUUCGGUUCGGAACAACUCUGGGAAACUGGAGCUAAUACCGGAUACGCCCUUAUGGGGAAAGGUUUACUGCCGAAGGAUCGGCUCGCGUCUGAUGAGCUAGUUGGUGGGGUAACGGCCUACCAAGGCGACGAUCAGUAGCUGGUCUGAGAGGAUGAUCAGCCACACUGGGACUGAGACACGGCCCAGACUCCUACGGGAGGCAGCAGUGGGGAAUAUUGGACAAUGGGCGCAAGCCUGAUCCAGCCAUGCCGCGUGAGUGAUGAAGGCCUUAGGGUUGUAAAGCUCUUUUGUCCGGGACGAUAAUGACGGUACCGGAAGAAUAAGCCCCGGCUAACUUCGUG